rnacentral:rRNA from 1 species
UGGUGUCUGCCAGCAAUGGCUCACCUCAAAUGACUUAGUGGAACAUCCCACAUCAGUGUUAGACGUAAUAAGUUUCGUCUCUCCUUGUGGUGAUGACUGCUCAAAACCUGCCAUCGCGCACCUUUUGACUUUGACCUGAAAUCAGGUAGGGCUACCCGCUGAACUUAAGCAUAUCAAUAAGCGGAGGAAAAGAAACUAACAAGGAUUCCCCUAGUAACGGCGAGUGAACCGGGAAGAGCUCAAAUUUGAAAUCUGGCGUGCUCAGUGCGUCCGAGUUGUAAUCUAUAGAGUCGUUUUCCGUGCCGGACUGUGUCCAAGUCCCUUGGAACAGGGUAUCAAAGAGGGUGAUAAUCCCGUACUUGACACAAUGACCGGUGCUCUGUGAUACGUCUUCUACGAGUCGAGUUGUUUGGGAAUGCAGCUCAAAAUGGGUGGUGAGUUCCAUCUAAAGCUAAAUAUUGGCGAGAGACCGAUAGCGAACAAGUACCGUGAGGGAAAGAUGAAAAGCACUUUGGAAAGAGAGUUAAACAGUACGUGAAAUUGUUAAAAGGGAAACGAUUGAAGUCAGUCGUGACUGAGAGGCUCAGCCGGUUCUGCCGGUGUAUUCCCCUCAGUCGGGUCAACAUCAGUUUUGUUCGGUGGAUAAGGGCAGUUGGAAGGUGGCACCCUCGGGUGUGUUAUAGCCAGCUGUCGCAUACAUCGGAUGAGACUGAGGAAUGCAGCUCGCCUUUAUGGCCGGGGUUCGCCCACGUUCGAGCUUAGGAUGUUGACAUAAUGGCUUUAAACGACCCGUCUUGAAACACGGACCAAGGAGUCUAACAUAUCUGCGAGUGUUUGGGUGUCAAACCCAAGCGCGUAAUGAAAGUAAACGUAGGAGGGAUCCGUAAGGAGCACCUUCGACCGAUCUGGAUCUUCUGUGAUGGAUUUG